CCUACGGGAGGCAGCAGUGAGGAAUAUUGGUCAAUGGGCGCGAGCCUGAACCAGCCAAGUCGCGUGAAGGAAGACUGCCCUACGGGUUGUAAACUUCUUUUGUAAGGGAAUAAAGUGAGGGACGUGUGCCCUUUUGUAUGUACUUUAAGAAUAAGGAUCGGCUAACUCCGUGCCAGCAGCCGCGGUAAUACGGAGGAUCCGAGCGUUAUCCGGAUUUAUUGGGUUUAAAGGGAGCGGAGGGGGGUUGUUAAGUUAGGUGUGAAAGUGUGGGGCCUAACCGUACAAUUGCAGUUGAUACUGGCUGUCUAGAGUAGAGUAGAGGUAGGCGGAAUUCGUGGUGUAGCGGUGAAAUGCGUAGAUAUCACGAAGAACUCCGAUUGCGAAGGCAGCAUACU
rnacentral:rRNA from 1 species